GAGAAAGUAUCUUCGGAUACGAGUACAGUGGCGGACGGGUGAGUAAUACAUAGGAAUCUACCCAAAUGGAGGGGGAUAGCUCGAGGAAGCUCGAAUUAAUACCGCAUAAACUCCACGGAGUAAAGAGGGCUUCGGCUCUUGCCAUCGGAUGAGCCUAUGCAGGAUUAGCUUGUUGGUGAGGUAAAAGCUCACCAAGGCAGCGAUCCUUAGCUGGUUUGAGAGGAUGACCAGCCACAUCGGGACUGAGACACGGCCCGGACUUCUACGGAAGGCAGCAGUAGGGAAUAUUGGACAAUGAGCGAAAGCUUGAUCCAGCCAUGCCGCGUGUGCGAUGACGGCCUUCGGGUUGUAAAGCACUUUAGGUAACGAGGAAAAGUUAGGUGUUAAUACCAUCUAACCUUGACGUUAAUUACAGAAUAAGCACCGGCUAAAUCCGUGCCAGCAGCCGCGGUAAUACGGAUGGUGCAAGCGUUAAUCGGAAUUACUGGGCGUAAAGCGCGCGUAGGUGGCAUAUUAAGUUAGAUGUGAAAUCCCGAGGCUUAACCUCGGAACUGCAUCUAAAACUAAUAAGCUUGAGUACUAGAGAGGAAAGUAGAAUUCUUAGUGUAGCGGUGGAAUGCGUAGAUAUUAAGAGGAAUACCAAUGGCGAAGGCAACUUUCUGGAUAGAUACUGACACUGAGGUGCGAAAGCGUGGGGAGCAAACAGGAUUAGAUACCCCGGUAGUCCACGCCGUAAACGAUGAUAACUAGCCGUUGGAUUUAUCCAGUGGCGCAGCUAACGCGUUAAGUUAUCCGCCUGGGGAGUACGGCCGCAAGGCUAAAACUCAAAUGAAUUGACGGGGACCCGCACAAGCGGUGGAGCAUGUGGUUUAAUUCGAUGCAACGCGAAAAACCUUACCUACACUUGACAUACUUCGAAUUUUCUAGAGAUAGAUUAGUGCCUUCGGGAGCGGAAAUACAGGUGCUGCAUGGCUGUCGUCAGCUCGUGUCGUGAGAAUGUUGGGGUUAAGUCCUAUAACG
rnacentral:rRNA from 1 species